UACAGAGGGUGCGAGCGUUAAUCGGAAUUACUGGGCGUAAAGCGCACGUAGGUGGCUUAGUAAGUCGGAUGUGAAAUCCCCAGGCUUAACCUGGGAACUGCAUUCGAAGCUGCUUUGCUAGAGUAUGGGAGAGGGCAGUGGAAUUUCAGGUGUAGCGGUGAAAUGCGUAGAUAUCUGAAGGAACAUCAGUGGCGAAAGCGACUGCCUGGACCAAUACUGACGCUCAUGUGCGAAAGCGUGGGGAGCAAACAGG
rnacentral:rRNA from 1 species